rnacentral:rRNA from 1 species
AACCUCCGCAAUGUGAGAAAUCGCUACGGGGGGAUCCCAAGUGCCAUUCUUAACGGGAUGGCUUUUCAUUAGUGUAAAAAGCUUUUGGAAUAAGGGCUGGGCAAGACCGGUGCCAGCCGCCGCGGUAACACCGGCAGCUCUAGUGGUAGCAGUUUUUAUUGGGCCUAAAGCGUCCGUAGCCGGUUUAAUAAGUCUCUGGUGAAAUCCUGUAGCUUAACUGUGGGAAUUGCUGGAGAUACUAUUAGACUUGAGACCGGGAGAGGUUAGAGGUACUCCCAGGGUAGAGGUGAAAUUCUGUAAUCCUGGGAGGACCGCCUGUUGCGAAGGCGUCUAACUGGAACGGUUCUGACGGUGAGGGACGAAAGUUAGGGGCGCGAACCGGGAUUAGAUACCCGGGUAGUCCUAACUGUAAACGAUGCGGACUUGGUGUUGGGGUGGCUUUGAGCUGCUCCAGUGCCGAAGGGAAGCUGUUAAGUCCGCCGCCUGGGAAGUACGGUCGCAAGACUGAAACUUAAAGGAAUU